rnacentral:rRNA from 1 species
GCCUCAGUACGGCGAGUGAAGCGGCAACAGCUCAAAUUUGAAAUCUGGCCUCUUUGGGGUCCGAGUUGUAAUUUGUAGAGGAUGUUUUGGGUACCGCCCCGGUCUAAAUUUCUUGGAACAGAAUGUCAAAGAGGGUGAGAAUCCCGUCUUGGACCGGCGGUAGGGCCCGUGUAAAACUCCUUCGACGAGUCGAGUUGUUUGGGAAUGCAGCUCAAAAUGGGUGGUAAAUUUCAUCUAAAGCUAAAUAUUGGCCAGAGACCGAUAGCGCACAAGUAGAGUGAUCGAAAGAUGAAAAGCACUUUGAAAAGAGAGUUAAACAGUAUGUGAAAUUGUUGAAAGGGAAGCGCUUACAACCAGACUUGAGCGCGGCGGUUCCCCCUUCCUUUUGGUUGGGUUACUCCGUCGUGUCCAGGCCAACAUCGGUUCUGGGGGUCGGUUAAAGGCCCGGGGAAUGUAUCUACCCUUUUGGCGUAGACUUAUAGCCCCGGGUGUCAUGCGACCUCCCGGGACCGAGGAACGCGCUUCGGCUCGGAUGUUGGCGUAAUGGUUGUCAGCGA